rnacentral:rRNA from 1 species
GUCGCUGACCUUCAAGGUCGUGCACGCCCGAGCGCUCUCACACAAUCCAUCUCACCCCUUUGUGCAUCACCGCGCGGGUCCCCCCUUUGCAGGAGGGCUCGCGUUUUCACACAAAACUCGAUACAGUCUAGAAUGUUUGUUUUUGCGGUCACACGCAAUCAAUACAACUUUCAACAACGGAUCUCUUGGCUCUCGCAUCGAUGAAGAACGCAGCGAAAUGCGAUACGUAAUGUGAAUUGCAGAAUUCAGUGAAUCAUCGAAUCUUUGAACGCACCUUGCGCCCCUUGGUAUUCCGAGGGGCACACCCGUUUGAGUGUCGUGAAAUCCUCAAAACCCCUUUUCUUUCAUCGGAAUGGGGGAUUUUGGACUUGGAGGUUCAAUGCUUGCUUUUGGUUUCGAAAGCAAGCUCCUCUUAAAUGAAUCAGUGGGGUCCGCUUUGCUGAUCCUUGACGUGAUAAGAUGUUUCUACGUUUUGGAUCUGGCAUGGUUUUCUCCGCUCCUAAUCGUCUCAUUGACAAUGAUGGUGUUUCGGUCCCUGCCAUCUACGUUGGCG